rnacentral:rRNA from 1 species
UUACCAUGCAAGUCGAACGGUGAAGCCCAGCUUGCUGGGUGGAUCAGUGGCGAACGGGUGAGUAACACGUGAGCAACCUGCCCCUGACUCUGGGAUAAGCGCUGGAAACGGCGUCUAAUACUGGAUACGAGACGUGAUCGCAUGGUCAACGUUUGGAAAGAUUUUUCGGUUGGGGAUGGGCUCGCGGCCUAUCAGCUUGUUGGUGAGGUAAUGGCUCACCAAGGCGUCGACGGGUAGCCGGCCUGAGAGGGUGACCGGCCACACUGGGACUGAGACACGGCCCAGACUCCUACGGGAGGCAGCAGUGGGGAAUAUUGCACAAUGGGCGCAAGCCUGAUGCAGCAACGCCGCGUGAGGGAUGACGGCCUUCGGGUUGUAAACCUCUUUUAGCAGGGAAGAAGCGAGAGUGACGGUACCUGCAGAAAAAAGCMCCCGGCCUAAACUAACGUGCCCAGCCAGCCCGCCGGUAAAUUACGUAAGGGGUGCCAAGGCGUUAAUCCCGGAAUUUAUUGGGGCGUAAAGGAGCUUCGUAGGGCGGUUUUGUCGGCGUUCUGCCUGUGAAAUUCUGGGGGGCUCAACCCCCCAGCCCUGCMCGUGGGGUACGGGGCAGACCUAGAGUGCCGGUAGGGGGAGAUUUGGAAUUCCCUGGGUGUAGCGGUGGAAUGCGCAGAUAUCAGGGAGGAACACCGAUGGCGAAGGCAGAUCUUCUGGGCCGUAACUGACGCUGAGGAGCGAAAGGGUGGGGAGCAAACCAGGCUUUAGAUACCCUGGUAGUCCACCCCGUAAACGUUGGGAACUAGUUGUGGGGUCCAUUCCACGGAUUCCGUGACGCAGCUAACGCAUUAAGUUCCCCGCCUGGGGAGUACGGCCGCAAGGCUAAAACUCAAAGGAAUUGACGGGGACCCGCMCAAGCGGCGGAGCAUGCGGAUUAAUUCGAUGCAAACGCGAAGAACCUUACCAAGGCUUGACAUAUACGAGAACGGSCCAGAAAUGGUCAACUCUUUGGACACUCGUAAACAGGUGGUGCAUGGUUGUCGUCAGCUCGUGUCGUGAGAUGUUGGGUUAAGUCCCGCAACGAGCGCAACCCUCGUUCUAUGUUGCCAGCACGUAAUGGUGGGAACUCAUGGGAUACUGCCGGGGUCAACUCGGAGGAAGGUGGGGAUGACGUCAAAUCAUCAUGCCCCUUAUGUCUUGGGCUUCACGCAUGCUACAAUGGCCGGUACAAUGGGCUGCAAUACCGUGAGGUGGAGCGAAUCCCAAAAAGCCGGUCCCAGUUCGGAU